UACGAAGGGGGCGAGCGUUGUUCGGAAUACUGGGCGUAAAGCGUGCGCAGGCGGUUUUGUAAGUCUGUCGUGAAAUCCCCGGGCUCAACCUGGGAAUUGCGAUGGAGACUGCAAGGCUAGAAUCUGGCAGAGGGGGGGUAGAAUUCCACGUGUAGCAGUGAAAUGCGUAGAGAUGUGGAGGAACACCGAUGGCGAAGGCAGCCCCCUGGGUCAAGAUUGACGCUCAUGCACGAAAGGCGUGGGGAGCAAACGAAGG
rnacentral:rRNA from 1 species